AACGAACGCUGGCGGCAUGCCUAACACAUGCAAGUCGAACGAGAUCUUCGGGUCUAGUGGCGCACGGGUGCGUAACGCGUGGGAAUCUGCCCUAUGGUUCGGAAAAAGAGUUGGAAACGACUAAUAAUAACGGAUGAUGACUAAAGUCCAAAGAUUUAUAGCCAGAGGAUGAGCCCGCGUAGGAUUAGCUAGCUGGAGUGGUAAAGGCGCACCAAGGCGACGAUCCUUAGCUGGUCUGAGAGGAUGAUCAGCCACACUGGGACUGAGACACGGCCCAGACUCCUACGGGAGGCAGCAGUGGGGAAUAUUGGACAAUGGGCGAAAGCCUGAUCCAGCAAUGCCGCGUGAGUGAUGAAGGCCUUAGGGUUGUAAAGCUCUUUUACCCGGGAUGAUAAUGACAGUACCGGGAGAAUAAGCUCCGGCUAACUCCGUGCCAGCCGCCGCCGUAA
rnacentral:rRNA from 1 species